UACGUAGGAUGCGAGCGUUGUCCGGAAUUACUGGGCGUAAAGCGUGCGUAGGCGGUUCGUUAAGUCAGUUGUGAAAGCCCCGGGCUCAACCUGGGAAUUGCGGUUGAAACUGGCGAACCAGAAUCUGGCAGAGGGGGGUGGAAUUCCACGUGUAGCAGUGAAAUGCGUAGAGAUGUGGAGGAACACCGAUGGCGAAGGCAGCCCCCUGGGCUGAGAUUGACGCUUAGGCACGAAAGCGUGGGGAGCAAACAGG
rnacentral:rRNA from 1 species